AGAGAACAGUGGUGAGACUGACUGUCAGAACUGAUGGAAAAGUAAAGGAUCCUGCAUUCAGCAGCCUUCUGUUAAUGCAGUUACAGGAGAAGCUGAUCAGCGCAGGCAUGUCAGAAGGCACCACACUAUCCUGGAGGACUCAACCUGAUGGCCAAAUCUUCCAUCUAAAGGACUAAAGAGCAAAAAUGACAAGGGGUCUGUGAAUGCGGAAGAGAUGAAUCCUCAGUGUGUCUGGAAUCGCAGAGGGAUCUGAGGACCAGAGCAGCCCAAUAUGCAUUGAUUUGCACAUAAUACAAAGAAAUGAUUCCUUUCUACUCAUGAUCAUACAAGUGAUUUUCUAUCCUUCUGCAUCUGCAUAAUAUAAACUUUCAUUUGUGCUGAUCCUGAAACAGAUAAUUGCUAACUGCAUUUCAGGCCUCACAGUGCUCACUGCUUUCCUUGGUGUGUUUCAGUUUAAUAGAUUAUAAACAUUCAGAGGUGAAAAUAUUUUCUGUAGCCUC